UACAGAGGGUGCGAGCGUUAAUCGGAAUUACUGGGCGUAAAGCGUGCGUAGACGGUUAUGUAAGUCGGGUGUGAAAGCCCCGGGCUCAACCUGGGAAUUGCAUUCGAGACUGCAUAGCUAGGAUGCGGAAGAGGGAAGUGGAAUUUCCGGUGUAGCGGUGAAAUGCGUAGAUAUCGGAAGGAACAUCAGUGGCGAAAGCGACUUCCUGGUCCAGCAUCGACGUCAGGCACGAAAGCGUGGGGAGCAAACAGG
rnacentral:rRNA from 1 species